UCCUUGGGGGACCGUUCGAAGGCGGCGGACGGGUGAGUAACGGCUGGGAACCUGCCCUGACGAGGGGGAUAACCGUUGGAAACGACGGCUAAUACCGCAUAAUGUCUUAGUUCCUUACGAGCUGGGACCAAAGGUGGCCUCUACAUGUAAUCUAUCGCGUUGGGAUGGGCCCAGUUAGGAUGAGCUAGUUGGUAAGGUAAUGGCUUACCAAGGCGACGAUCCUUAGCUGGUUUGAGAGGAUGAUCAACCACACUGGGACUGACACACGGCCCGGACUCCUACGGAAGGCAGCAGUGGGGAAUAUUGCCCAAUGGGGGAGACCCUGAUGCAUCCAUGCCGCGUGUGUGAAGAAGGCCUUCGGGUUGUAAAGCACUUUCAGCAUUGAGGAAGGUGGUGUACUUAAUACGUGCAUUGCUUGACAUUAGCUGCAAAAUAAGCACCGGCUAACUCCCGUUGCCACAGGCAAGUCCGCGGGUAAUUACGGAGGGUGCGAGCCGUUAAUUCGGAAUUACUGGGCGUAAAAGCGCAUGCACGCAGUUUGUUAAGUCAGAUGUGAAAGCCCCGGGGCUCAACCUCGGAACCGCAUUUGAAACUGGCAGGCUAGAGUCUUGUAGAGGGGGGUAGAAUUUCAGGUGUAGCGGUGAAAUGCAUAAAGAUCUGAAAGAAUACCACUGGCGAAGGCGGCCCCCUGGACAAAGACUGACGCUCAGAUGCAAAAGCGUGGGUAGCAAACAGGAUUACAUACCCUGGUAGUCCACGCCGUAAACGCUGACUACUUGGAGGUUGAGGUUUAAGACUUUGGCUUUCGGCGCUAACGCAGUAAAUAAACCGCCCCGGGGAGUACAGCCGCAAGGGUUAAAACUCAGAAUCGACAUCGAACGGGGGCACCGCAGCUAAGCGGUGAGGUAGCAUGCUAGCUCUAAUACGACUGCAACGACGUACAGUUGAGACCAUUUCACCUACGCUUAGACAUACAGCUGUAAUCAUAUUAGAGAUAGAGGAGUGCCUUCGGGAGCGCUGAGACAGGUGCUGCAUGGCUGUCGUCAGCUCGUGUUGUGAAAUGUUGGGUUAAGUCCCGCAACGAGCGCAACCCUUAUCCUUGUUUGCCAGCACAUAAUGGUGGGAACUCCAGGGAGACUGCCGGUGAUAAACCGGAGGAAGGUGGGGACGACGUCAAGUCAUCAUGGCCCUUACGAGUAGGGCUACACACGUGCUACAAUGGCAGAUACAGAGGGCAGCGAAGCUGCGAAGUGGAGCGAAUCCCUUAAAGUCUGUCGUAGUCCGGAUUGGAGUCUGCAACUCGACUCCAUGAAGUCGGAAUCGCUAGUAAUCGGGUCCGAUGCCCAUCCAACCCCUUACUCUCUGGGCGCCUAAGAAUACUCUCUCCUUUUCCUUCCCUCCCUUCCUCAC
rnacentral:rRNA from 1 species